GGGGAAUAUUGCACAAUGGGGGAAACCCUGAUGCAGCGACGCCGCGUGGAGGAAGAAGGUCUUCGGAUUGUAAACUCCUGUUGUUGGGGAAGAUAAUGACGGUACCCAACAAGGAAGUGACGGCUAACUACGUGCCAGCAGCCGCGGUAAAACGUAGGUCACAAGCGUUGUCCGGAAUUACUGGGUGUAAAGGGAGCGCAGGCGGGAAGACAAGUUGGAAGUGAAAUCUAUGGGCUCAACCCAUAAACUGCUUUCAAAACUGUUUUUCUUGAGUAGUGCAGAGGUAGGCGGAAUUCCCGGUGUAGCGGUGGAAUGCGUAGAUAUCGGGAGGAACACCAGUGGCGAAGGCGGCCUACUGGGCACCAACUGACGCUGAGGCUCGAAAGUGUGGGUAGCAAACAGGAUUAGAUACCCUGGUAGUCCACACCGUAAACGAUGAUUACUAGGUGUUGGAGGAUUGACCCCUUCAGUGCCGCAGUUAACACAAUAAGUAAUCCACCUGGGGAGUACGACCGCAAGGUUGAAACUCAAAGGAAUUGACGGGGGCCCGCACAAGCAGUGGAGUAUGUGGUUUAAUUCGACGCAACGCGAAGAACCUUACCAAGUCUUGACAUCCCUUGACAGGCAUAGAAAUAUGUUUUCUCUUCGGAGCAAGGAGACAGGUGGUGCAUGGUUGUCGUCAGCUCGUGUCGUGAGAUGUUGGGUUAAGUCCCGCAACGAGCGCAACCCUUAUGGUCAGUUACUACGCAAGAGGACUCUGGCCAGACUGCCGUUGACAAAACGGAGGAAGGUGGGGAUGACGUCAAAUCAUCAUGCCCUUUAUGACUUGGGCUACACACGUACUACAAUGGCGUUAACAGAGGGAAGCAAGACAGCGAUGUGGAGCAAACCCCUAAAAACAUUCUCAGUUCAGAUUGCAGGCUGCAACCCGCCUGCAUGAAGAUGGAAUUGCUAGUAAUCGCGGAUCAGCAUGCCGCGGUGAAUACGUUCCCG
rnacentral:rRNA from 1 species